GUGAAUACAAUCAACCGCUAUAGCUACUGUCCUUAUGCUGCAACAACAUCUCUUUGAUAGCAGGGUUGAGGGUGGUAGACACAAUGCAGUGGGACUCUGGCUCGUUCAAAAGACAUCCUGGAGCAACACUGAUAGUACCACAUCAGGGGAAGGAUGUGCGAGGUCUGUACCCUGGUCAGCUGGGUAGAAUCCACGUCGUUCACUCUCAGGAUCACAGUUUUAUAGUGCCUUAUUGCAAACAGGUGUCACGACACCUACGGAAGGUGGCGCCCCUCUUCGCCCGGACGGCGCUCGGCGGUCGUCGUCGCCGGCCUACUAGCUGCCACUGAUCUAUGUUUCACGUUCUGUUAGUUAGGCCUAGGUUAGUUACGCACCUGUUUUGUAUUAGUUGUUAGUGGG
rnacentral:lncRNA from 1 species